rnacentral:rRNA from 1 species
GAGUUUGAUCAUGGCUCAGGAUGAACGCUAGCGGCAGGCUUAACACAUGCAAGUCGAACGGUAACAGAUCCAGCUUGCUGGAUGCUGACGAGUGGCGCACGGGUGCGUAACGCGUAUGCAACUUGCCCCUAACUGGGGGAUAGCCCGGGGAAACCCGGAUUAAUACCCCAUAAUAUAUCGAGAUGGCAUCAUCUUGAUAUUAAAACUCCGGUGGUUAGGGAGAGGCAUGCGUCCCAUUAGCUUGUUGGUGAGGUAACGGCUCACCAAGGCAACGAUGGGUAGGGGUUCUGAGAGGAUGAUCCCCCACACUGGUACUGAGACACGGACCAGACUCCUACGGGAGGCAGCAGUGAGGAAUAUUGGACAAUGGGCGAGAGCCUGAUCCAGCCAUGCCGCGUGCAGGAAGACGGCCCUAUGGGUUGUAAACUGCUUUUAUAUAGGAAGAAACCAUCUCUCGUGAGAGAUAUUGACGGUACUAUAAGAAUAAGGACCGGCUAACUCCGUGCCAGCAGCCGCGGUAAUACGGAGGGUCCGAGCGUUAUCCGGAAUCAUUGGGUUUAAAGGGUCCGUAGGCGGGAAUCUAAGUCAGUGGUGAAAUCUUGCAGCUCAACUGUAAAAUUGCCAUUGAUACUGGAUUUCUUGAAUUAGUGUGAAGUGGUUAGAAUGUGUAGUGUAGCGGUGAAAUGCAUAGAUAUUACACAGAAUACCAAUUGCGAAGGCAGAUCACUAACACUAUAUUGACGCUGAGGGACGAAAGCGUGGGGAGCGAACAGGAUUAGAUACCCUGGUAGUCCACGCCGUAAACGAUGGAUACUAGCUGUUCGAUCUUCGGAUUGAGUGGCUAAGCGAAAGUGAUAAGUAUCCCACCUGGGGAGUACGUUCGCAAGAAUGAAA